GAUGAAGAACGCAGCGAAAUGCGAUAAGUAAUGUGAAUUGCAGAAUUCAGUGAAUCAUCGAAUCUUUGAACGCACAUUGCGCCCGCCAGUAUUCUGGCGGGCAUGCCUGUUCGAGCGUCAUUUCAACCAUCAAGCCCCCGGCUUGUGUUGGGGACCUGCGGCUGCCGCAGGCCCUGAAAACCAGUGGCGGGCUCGCUAGUCACUCCGAGCGUAGUAAUACAUCUCGCUCAGGGCGUGCUGCGGGUUCCGGCCGUUAAAAAAGCCUUAUUUACCCAAGGUUGACCUCGGAUCAGGUAGGAAGACCCGCUGAACUUAAGCAUAUCAAUAGCGGAGGA
rnacentral:misc_RNA from 1 species